UCCCUGGUGGCCUAGUAGUUAAGGAUUCAGCAUUGUCAUUGCUGUGGUGCAGGUUCAGUCCCUGACCAGAGAA
rnacentral:tRNA from 1 species